UAUCCGUAGGGGAACCUGCGGAUGGAUCAUUAACAUUAUUAUCCUUAUUAUAUAUAACUACUUAACUGUUGAAGUUUUGUUAUUCUUUUUUACAAAAGAAUAACAUACUUUUUAACCAUAAACUUUCUCAUUAUCUAAUUCUUUAUACUUUUGUACUCUUUGUACAAUAGUAUUUAAUUGUUUAAAUGUGAAACAACUUUUAACAAUGGAUAUCUUGGUUCUCGCAUCGAUGAGAACGCAGC
rnacentral:misc_RNA from 1 species